AACGAACGCUGGCGGCGUGCUUAACACAUGCAAGUCAGGGGGAAAGUUCCUUCGGGAGCGAGUAAACCGGCGCACGGGUGAGUAACACGUGAGUAACCUGCCUUUUAGACUGGAACAACUUACCGAAAGGUGAGCUAAUGCCGGAUGAAUUAUGUACCCGCAUGGUUAUAUAGAAAAAGCCGGGGUAACCUGGCGCUAAAAGAUGGACUCGCGUCCCAUUAGCUAGUUGGUGGGGUAGAGGCCUACCAAGGCGACGAUGGGUAGCCGGCUGAGAGGGUGGCCGGCCACACUGGGACUGAGACACGGCCCAGACUCCUACGGGAGGCAGCAGUGGGGAAUUUUGCGCAAUGCUCGAGAGAGUGACGCAGCGACGCCGCGUGAAUGACGAAGGCCUUCGGGUCUUAAAGUUCUUUCGACAGGGGAAGAAUGUGCGUAGUAGUAACUGACUGCGCAGUGACGGUACCUGUAUAAGCAGCCCCGGCUAACUCCGUGCCAGCAGCCGCGGUAAUACGGAGGGGGCGAGCGUUGUUCGGAGUGACUGGGCGUAAAGAGCACGUAGGCGGUGUUGUAAGUCAUUAGUCAAAGGCUAGAGCUCAACUUUAGUAAGGCUAGUGAUACUAUAAUACUAGAGUAUCAGAGAGGAUUGCAGAAUUCCUGGUGUAGCGGUGAAAUGCGUAGAUAUCAGGAGGAAUACCGGUAGCGAAGGCGGCAAUCUGGCUGGAAACAGACGCUGAGGUGCGAAAGCGUGGGUAGCAAACAGGAUUAGAUACCCUGGUAGUCCACGCUGUAAACGAUGGAUGCUAGGUGUUGGGCAUUAAUGUUCAGUGCCGCAGCAAACGCGAUAAGCAUCCCGCCUGGGGAGUACGUUUGCAAGAAUGUAACUCAAAGGAAUCGACGGGGGCCCGCACAAGCGGUGGAGCACGUGGUUUAAUUUGAUGCUA
rnacentral:rRNA from 1 species